AGCUUUGCGCAGUGGCAGUAUCAUAGCCAAUGAGGUUUAUCCGAGGUGCGAUUAUUGCUAAUUGAAAACUUUCUUUCUUUCAUUAUAUUUUAAUUUUAAGCCCACAAGUUCUGUAUUAAUAUGUUUUGUUAGAUUUACACCCAAAU
rfam:Mustela putorius furo unplaced genomic scaffold scaffold00046, whole genome shotgun sequence.